AAACAAACUUCCUGCAGGGCCGACCAGCGGGCGAAAGUUUGCAAAAGUAUCAUCCGGCAAGCGGUCGGGUCCACCUGGCUCUCCCCAGUGUUGAGUGGCCGCUUGCAGGAUCGCGUGCAGGUCAGGCAUCAGAGUGGAAUCUGCGAGCUGCUGCAGGUUGUCGUGGAUCAGGGCAUAGGAUGGCAGCAGCGAAUCGCCCUGUCGGCGUUCCCUACGUAAAACAUACCCAGCACCAAGUGAAUUCUGCAUUAUUCGGUAAGCAAGUUCUACACCACAACUCAACGAAAAUCCGACGUAUUGACUAUUCGCGGGCUAUUCAAUUUAGUGGACAAGCAUAGGACUUGCUGUUGGCCGCAUUACGCUCCAGAAUCGGUUCACCGACAUCCGGAUGCACAAGCGGCUGGGUCCAGCUGGACAAUGGCAGCGUGAUACUGCGCUGUUUGUGCCGGAUGAUAUUCUGCUUGGCCCGGUUCGACCAUCACUCCAUGACACUAUCAAUGGCGGUGUUCCCCUUCCACCGGCAAAAUGCACGCGCUUGGGAGCCUUAUGCAGAUCCUGCACAAAUGGCUACUGGGUAGUCUGAAUUCCGCCGCUAGGACCACGAACGCGGUACAACGCCCACUUAAAUACUUUGUGAGGCUUGGGAGAGCAAUAAACGCACUGCCUUAUGCUGAUGCAGUGCAG